UACAGGGGGUGCAAACGUUGCUCGGAAUCAUUGGGCGUAAAGCGCACGUAGGCGGUCUGUUAUGUCGGAUGUGAAAGCCCUUGGCUCAACUGAGGAAGUGCAUCCGAAACUGGCAGGCUAGAGUACUAAAGAGGGUCGCGGAAUUCCCGGUGUAGAGGUGAAAUUCGUAGAUAUCGGGAGGAACACCGGUGGCGAAGGGCGGCGACCUGGGUAGAUACUGACGCUGAGGUGCGAAAGCGUGGGGAGCAACAG
rnacentral:rRNA from 1 species